rnacentral:misc_RNA from 1 species
GAAAUGCGAUAAGUAGUGUGAAUUGCAGAAUUCAGUGAAUCAUCGAAUCUUUGAACGCACAUUGCGCCCCUUGGUAUUCCAUGGGGCAUGCCUGUUCGAGCGUCAUCUACACCCUCAAGCUCUGCUUGGUGUUGGGCGUCUUUGUCCCGCCUCCGCGCGCGGACUCGCCCCAAAUUCAUUGGCAGCCGGCGUACUGGUCCCGGAGCGCAGCACAUGUCGCGCAAACGAGUGCCUUGGUACGGCGGCGUCCAUAAGCCCCUCUCUCACGCUCUUGACCUCGGAUCAGGUAGGGAUACCCGCUGAACUUAAGC